rnacentral:rRNA from 1 species
GAUGAACGCUAGCGGUAGGCCUAACACAUGCAAGUCGAACGGUAACAGAGGAGCUUGCUCCUGCUGACGAGUGGCGAACGGGUGCGUAACACGUAUGCAACUUACCUCUUUCAGGGGAAUAGCCUCGAGAAAUCGGGAUUAAUACCCCAUAGUAUUACAUUUUCGCAUGAUUUUGUAAUUAAAACUCCGGUGGAAAGAGAUAGGCAUGCGGCCCAUUAGUUUGUUGGUGAGGUAACGGCUCACCAAGACUACGAUGGGUAGGGGGUCUGAGAGGAUGAUCCCCCACACUGGUACUGAGACACGGACCAGACUCCUACGGGAGGCAGCAGUGAGGAAUAUUGCGCAAUGGACGAAAGUCUGACGCAGCCAUACCGCGUGCAGGAAGACGGCCCUACGGGUUGUAAACUGCUUUUGUUUGCCAAGAAACCCACCUACGUGUAGGUGGCUGACGGUAGCAUUCGAAUAAGCACCGGCUAACUCCGUGCCAGCCGCCGCCGUAACAC